rnacentral:misc_RNA from 1 species
ACACUGCGCUAUUAAACAAGA